UGUUAAAAAUUACAUCCAUUUCUACUGUUAAAAACUAGUGUGGUUGACAGAAAAAUUAGGUAGUUAAAUGUGGUGUGACACGUGUUCCUCAUUCUGAUAUACAAAGACCAGUUUUUAAUAGUAGAAAUGAAUGGAAUUUUUAACA
rfam:Gossypium hirsutum cultivar TM-1 unplaced genomic scaffold scaffold1271.1, whole genome shotgun sequence